rnacentral:ncRNA from 1 species
UCUGCAGGUGCUGCUGAAGUAAUAGUAGGCAGAGAAUAGGGAAGCAGGUGCAAAUCCUGCACGAACUCGUCACCGUGAUCCGCUUUUGGUAUGAAUAAUAUGUCACUGGAAAUUUUCCGGGAAGGCGUUCAUACUGCGGUCAGCCGGGAGACCUGCCUGAAGAGG